UCUCCGUUGGUGAACCAGCGGAGGGAUCAUUACAGGACUCGCAAGACUCCUACACCCCUGUGAACUUAACUAUAAGCACGAUCUUCGGCGGGUGUCUCGGAGGGGGUUCUCCCUCCCCGAGACGCUAUACCCGCCGGCAGCCUACGAUACUCUGGCUCUUUGCGUUUGCAUCUCGAGUACAAUCAAACAAGUUCAAACUUUCAACAACGGAUCUCUUGGUUCUG
rnacentral:misc_RNA from 1 species